AUACGGAGGCUCCGAGCGUUAUCCGGAUUUAUUGGGUUUCAAGGGUGCGCAGGCGGCCAUUUAAGUCCGCGGUUAAAUCGUGGGGCUCAACCCCAUUCUGCCGUUGAUACUGGGUGGCUUGAUUGCGGUCGAGGUUGGCGGAAUUCUUUGUGUAGCGGUGAAAUGCAUAGAUAUGACGAAGAACACCGAUUGCGUAGGCAGCUGACCAGACCGCAAAUGACGCUCAUGCACGAAAGUGCGGGGAUCGAACAGGAUUAGAUACCCUGGUAGUCCGCACAGUAAACGAUGAAUACUUGUUUUCGGCGAUAUAAUGUCGGAGGCAAAGCGAAAGCGAUAAGUAUUCCACCUGGGGAGUACGCCGGCAACGGUGAAACUCAAAUGAAUUGGCGGGG
rnacentral:rRNA from 1 species